AUUGAACGCUGGCGGCAGGCCUAACACAUGCAAGUCGAACGAGUGGCGGACGGGUGAGUAAUGUCUGGGAAACUGCCUGAUGGAGGGGGAUAACUACUGGAAACGGUAGCCAAUACCGCAUACCAUUGGAUGUGCCCAGAUGGGAUUAGCUAGUAGGUGGGGGAAAGGCUCACGUAGGCGACGAUCCCUAGCUGGUCUGAGAGGAUGACCAGCCACACUGGAACGGAGAAACCGUCCAGACGCCUACGGGAGGCAGCAGUGGGGAAUAUUGCACAAUGGGCGCAAGCCUGAUGCAGCCAUGCCGCGUGUAUGAGGAAGGCCUUCGGGUUGUAAAGUACUUUCAGCGGGGAGGCGUUACCCGCAGAAGAAGCACCGGCUAACUACGUGCCAGCAGCCGCGGUAAUUC
rnacentral:rRNA from 1 species